rnacentral:rRNA from 1 species
UACGUAGGUGGCAAGCGUUGUCCGGAUUUACUGGGCGUAAAGAGCGCGCAGGCGGCUAUCCAAGUCAGUGGUGAAAGCCCGGAGCUCAACUCCGGAACUGCCAUUGAAACUGUUUAGCUUGAGGAUGAGAGAGGUGAGUGGAAUUCCCAGUGUAGAGGUGAAAUUCGUAGAUAUUGGGAAGAACACCGGCGGCGAAGGCGGCUCACUGGCUCAUUACUGACGCUCAGGCGCGAUAGCGUGGGGAUCAAACAGG